CUAGCGACUUCAGAGUUUGAUCCUGGCUCAGGACGAACGCUGGCGGCGUGCCUAACACAUGCAAGUCGAACGGAACUAUUUUGAAGGAUCUCUUCGGAGUGACGGAUUUUUAGUUUAGUGGCGGACGGGUGAGUAACGCGUGAGUAACCUGCCUCUGAGAGGGGAAUAACGUUCUGAAAAGAACGCUAAUACCGCAUAACAUAUAUUUGCCGCAUGACAGAUAUAUCAAAGAUUUUAUCGCUCAGAGAUGGACUCGCGUCCGAUUAGUUAGUUGGUGAGGUAACGGCUCACCAAGACCGCGAUCGGUAGCCGGACUGAGAGGUUGAUCGGCCACAUUGGGACUGAGACACGGCCCAG
rnacentral:rRNA from 1 species